rnacentral:rRNA from 1 species
GGGUUGUGAGGUUAAGCGAAUAAGCGUACACGGUGGAUGCCUAGGCAAUCAGAGGCGAUGAAGGACGUGCUAAUCUGCGAAAAGCGUCGGUAAGGUGAUAUGAACCGUUAUACCCGACGAUAUCCGAAUGGGGAAACCCAGUAUCCAAUGGAUACUAUCAUUAACUGAAUCCAUAGGUUAAUGAGGCGAACCGGGAGAACUGAAACAUCUCAGUACCCCGAGGAAAAGAAAUCAACCGAGAUUCCCCUAGUAGCGGCGAGCGAACGGGGAGCAGCCCAGAGUCUUAAUCAAUAGCAGUGUCAGGAGAACGGUCUGGAAAGUCCGGCAGUAAAGGGUGAUAGCCCCGUAUCUGAAGAUGCUGUUAUUGUGAACUCGACGAGUAGGGCGGGACACGUGUUAUCCUGUCUGAAUAUGGGGGGACCAUCCUCCAAGGCUAAAUACUCCUGAUUGACCGAUAGUGAACCAGUACCGUGAGGGAAAGGCGAAAAGAACCCCGGCGAGGGGAGUGAAAAGAACCUGAAACCGUGUACGUACAAGCAGUAGGAGCCUCUUUAUGGGGUGACUGCGUACCUUUUGUAUAAUGGGUCAGCGACUUAUAUUCUGUAGCAAGGUUAACCGUAUAGGGGAGCCGUAGGGAAACCGAGUCUUAACUGGGCGAAUGAGUUGCAGGGUAUAGACCCGAAACCCGGUGAUCUAUCCAUGGGCAGGUUGAAGGUUGGGUAACACUAACUGGAGGACCGAACCGACUAAUGUUGAAAAAUUAGCGGAUGACUUGUGGAUGGGGGUGAAAGGCCAAUCAAACCGGGAGAUAGCUGGUUCUCCCCGAAAGCUAUUUAGGUAGCGCCUCGUGAACUCAUCUUCGGGGGUAGAGCACUGUUUCGACUAGGGGGUCAUCCCGACUUACCAACUCGAUGCAAACUGCGAAUACCGAAGAAUGUUAUCACGGGAGACACACGGCGGGUGCUAACGUCCGUCGUGAAGAGGGAAACAACCCAGACCGCCAGCUAAGGUCCCAAAGUCAUGGUUAAGUGGGAAACGAAGUGGGAAGGCUCAGACAGCCAGGAUGUUGGCUUAGAAGCAGCCAUCAUUUAAAGAAAGCGUAAUAGCUCACUGGUCGAGUCGGCCCGCGCGGAAGAUGUAACGGGGCUAAACCAUGCACCGAAGCUGCGGCAGCGACACAAAGUGUUGUUGGGUAGGGGAGCGUUCUGUAAGCCUGCGAAGGUGUACUGUGAGGUAUGCUGGAGGUAUCAGAAGUGCGAAUGCUGACAUAAGUAACGAUAAUGCGGGUGAAAAACCCGCACGCCGGAAGACCAAGGGUUCCUGUCCAACGUUAAUCGGGGCAGGGUGAGUCGACCCCUAAGGCGAGGCUGAAAAGCGUAGUCGAUGGGAAACGGGUUAAUAUUCCCGUACUGGUGGUAACUGCGAUGGGGAACGGAGAAGGCUAGGUUGUCCGGGCGACGGUCGUCCCGGUUCAAGCAGGUAGGCAGAGUGAUUAGGCAAAUCCGGUCACUUAAUGCUGAGAUGUGAUGACGAACCACCAAGGUGGUGAAGCAAUUGAUGCCCCGCUUCCAGGAAAAGCCUCUAAGCUUCAGGUUACCAACAAUCGUACCCCAAACCGACACAGGUGGUCAGGUAGAGAAUACUCAGGCGCUUGAGAGAACUCGGGUGAAGGAACUAGGCAAAAUGGUGCCGUAACUUCGGGAGAAGGCACGCUGGCGGUAAGUAAAGUCCCUCGCGGACAGAGCUGAAGCCAGUCGAAGAUACCAGCUGGCUGCAACUGUUUAUUAAAAACACAGCACUGUGCAAACACGAAAGUGGACGUAUACGGUGUGACGCCUGCCCGGUGCUGGAAGGUUAAUUGAUGGGGUUAGCGUAAGCGAAGCUCCUGAUCGAAGCCCCAGUAAACGGCGGCCGUAACUAUAACGGUCCUAAGGUAGCGAAAUUCCUUGUCGGGUAAGUUCCGACCUGCACGAAUGGCGUAAUGAUGGCCAGGCUGUCUCCACCCGAGACUCAGUGAAAUUGAACUCGCUGUGAAGAUGCAGUGUACCCGCGGCAAGACGGAAAGACCCCGUGAACCUUUACUAUAGCUUGACACUGAACAUUGAGCCUUGAUGUGUAGGAUAGGUGGGAGGCUUUGAAGUGUGGACGCCAGUCUGCAUGGAGCCAACCUUGAAAUACCACCCUUUAACGUUUGAUGUUCUAACCUAGGCCCAUAAACUGGGUCGGGGACCGUGUCUGGUGGGUAGUUUGACUGGGGCGGUCUCCUCCUAAAGAGUAACGGAGGAGCACGAAGGUUGGCUAAGCAUGGUCGGACAUCAUGCGGUUAGUGCAAAGGCAUAAGCCAGCUUGACUGCGAGAGUGACGGCUCGAGCAGGUACGAAAGUAGGUCUUAGUGAUCCGGUGGUUCUGAAUGGAAGGGCCAUCGCUCAACGGAUAAAAGGUACUCCGGGGAUAACAGGCUGAUACCGCCCAAGAGUUCAUAUCGACGGCGGUGUUUGGCACCUCGAUGUCGGCUCAUCACAUCCUGGGGCUGAAGUAGGUCCCAAGGGUAUGGCUGUUCGCCAUUUAAAGUGGUACGCGAGCUGGGUUUAGAACGUCGUGAGACAGUUCGGUCCCUAUCUGCCGUGGGCGUUGGAAGAUUGAGAGGGGUUGCUCCUAGUACGAGAGGACCGGAGUGAACGCACCACUGGUGUUCGGGUUGUCAUGCCAAUGGCAUUGCCCGGUAGCUAAGUGCGGAAGAGAUAACCGCUGAAAGCAUCUAAGCGGGAAACUUGCCUCGAGAUGAGUCUUCCCUGUCGCUUUAAGCGACCUAAAGGAACGUUUAAGACUAAGACGUUGAUAGGCUGGGUGUGUAAGCGUAGCGAUACGUUGAGCUAACCAGUACUAAUGAACCGUGAGGCUUAACCUGACAACACCGAAAGUGUUUUG